rnacentral:rRNA from 1 species
UUGCCGGCGACCGGCGCACGGGUGAGUAACGCGUAUCCCACCUUCCGCUUACUCGGGGAUAGCCUUUCGAAAGAAAGAUUAAUACCCGAUGGUAUCUUAAGCACGCAUGAGAUUAAGAUUAAAGAUUUAUCGGUAAGCGAUGGGGAUGCGUUCCAUUAGGCAGUUGGCGGGGUAACGGCCCACCAAACCUACGAUGGAUAGGGGUUCUGAGAGGAAGGUCCCCCACAUUGGAACUGAGACACGGUCCAAACUCCUACGGGAGGCAGCAGUGGGGAAUAUUGGUCAAUGGGCGAGAGCCUGAACCAGCCAAGUAGCGUGAAGGAUGACGGCCCUACGGGUUGUAAACUUCUUUUGUGCGGGAAUAAAGGAGCCUACGUGUAGGCUUUUGCAUGUACCGUAACGAAUAAGCAUCGGCUAACUCCGUGCCAGCAGCCGCGGUAAUACGGAGGAUGCGAGCGUUAUCCGGAUUUAUUGGGUUUAAAGGGAGCGUAGACGGGUUUUUAAGUCAGCUGUGAAAGUUUGGGGCUCAACCUUAAAAUUGCAGUUGAAACUGGAGACCUUGAGUACGGUUGAGGCAGGCGGAAUUCGUGGUGUAGCGGUGAAAUGCUUAGAUAUCACGAAGAACUCCGAUUG